rnacentral:rRNA from 1 species
UCUUUGGCCACGCCUCCCCGAAUUCCCCGAUAUUGUCCAGUCUUGGAAGCUAAGCAGGGUUGGUUGGGGCUGUUAGUGCUUUGGAUGGGAGAAUAAAAGCCAACAGAA